rnacentral:rRNA from 1 species
UACAGAGGGUGCAAGCGUUAAUCGGAAUUACUGGGCGUAAAGCGUGCGUAGUCGGUUAUCUAAGUCGGGUGUGAAAUCCCCGGGCUCAACCUGGGAAUUGCAUUCGAUACUGGAUAGCUAGAGUUCGGCAGAGGGAAGCGGAAUUUCUGGUGUAGCGGUGAAAUGCGUAGAUAUCAGAAGGAACAUCAGUGGCGAAAGCGGCUUCCUGGACCAGAACUGACGAUCAGGCACGAAAGCGUGGGGAGCAAAAGGG